rnacentral:rRNA from 1 species
GACGAACGCUGGCGGCGUGCCUAAUACAUGCAAGUCGAACGCAGUGGGGACGGGUGAGUAACACGUGGGUAACCUCCCAUCAGAGGGGAUAACACUUGGAAACAGGUGCUAAACCGAUACUGAUGGAUGGACCCGCGGUGCAUUAGCUAGUUGGUGGGGUAAGGGGUAACCAAGGCCAAGAUGCAUAGCGGACCGGAGAGGGUGAUCGGCCACACGGGGACUGAGAAACGGCCCAGACUCCUACGGGAGGCAGCAGUAGGGAAUCGUCGGCAAUGGACGAAAGUCUGACGGAGCAACGCGGCGUGAGUGAAGAAGGUUUUCGGAUCGUAAAUCUCUGUUGUUAGAGAAGCGGUAUCUAACCAGAAAGCCACGGCUAACUACGUGCCAGCCGCCGCGGUAAUUC